rnacentral:sRNA from 1 species
AAAUAAACCUUAUUGAAGCGGCUAUCCUUUUUGCUGCAUAAACAAAAAUGUAUCUACAUACCUUCACAAAAAGAUAAUAGCGGAAAGAAGGAAUGCAC